rnacentral:misc_RNA from 1 species
AGCAGCAGUUGUCUUAUUUCUUAUGAUAUUGGGGUUGGGGAUAGAACCCACAUUCACGCUAGCUCCAUUUGCAUUUUCUGGGGAUAAUAGAAAGGAAAAUGCUGAUGAUGGCUUAAGGCGGCUUCUUGAUGGGAAAACUAGCACAGGGGUAAAGCCUGCGAUCACGUAAUAUUAUGUAGCUGAUUUGUGUGUGUAUAACGCUUCAGGUAGACCAGGUUUGCAGCUGCUUCAUGCUACACUCCACUGGGUAGAUAGAGGCCAUGCUGCCUAAUAGAAAUAAACCGGUGUCCUCCUCGCUGCUUU